GCUGGGCAUGGUGGCGCAUGCCUGUAAUCUCAGCUACUUGGGAGGCUGAGGCAGGAGAAUUGCUUGAACUCGGGAGGUGGAGGUUGCAGUGAGCCAGGAUUGUGCCCACUGCACUCCAGCCUGGGCAACAGAGCAAAACUCCGUCUCAA
rnacentral:SRP_RNA from 1 species